GAGGGAAUAUCCCACAAAAAAAAAUGAGAGAAAACUUCAAAUACCAUCCAUGUAGUUUCGCAUUUUCUCACUUUAGUACCAUGUGAUUUAAAGCGUAUAUAUUUAGUACUCUGUGGUUUCAUUUUUCAUUUUUUAUUGUCCAUUUCAUUAAUUUUUUUUAUUAAAUCAGUGAUAAAGUUAAAACUAAAGGGUAGUAAAGUGAAUAUUCAAUAAACCUAGAUGGGGUAUAUGAAGUUUUUUGUAUAUAAUUUAACGAAAUAUUAACAGAGGAGCUGACGAAAAGAGAAAAAUGAAACCACAUGGUACUAACUUGAUACAUUUUAAAUCACAGAGUACUAAAGUGAGAAAUUACAAAAUUACACGGAUGGUAUUUGAAGUUUACCCAAAAAAUUAUUCUUACAUACUUUAUU
rnacentral:lncRNA from 1 species